rnacentral:lncRNA from 1 species
ACGGGGAGAGAAACUGCAGAGUGAGAAAAUGAUGACCUAAUAUUCUUUGAAGAUUGAAGAGCGGUAACCUAAUAGCCAGAUUGAAUAAUCAUGUACAAAUUUUUAAAACAGGACUAUCAGUGCUGUAAUCAGAGAGAGCCUAGAUAGCAUGCAAUAGAAUUAAACUUAUCUUGAAUGGGGGAAUUAUUUCAUAUAAAAAAUAUAACUACAGUCCUCAUUCUCCAAUAAUCAGAGCUGCCUCAAUAAUCGGUGGUGUUGGAUACUAAGGGUAUUCAGCAGUGCAUGAGAGUUGCUCAGUAUCUUUUAUGACAUGAACCUUCAUUUCUUAAGAUUCAACGUGUUACAAACAAACAUAUUCCACCUGUUACAACAAUCUGGCA